GACAGAGGGUGCAAACGUUGGUCGGAAUUACGGGGCGUAAAGCGCGUGUAGGCGGCUAUGCAAGUCGGAUGUGAAAGCCCUCGGCUCAACCGGGGAAGUGCACCCGAAACUGCAAAGCUAGAGUCUCGGAGAGGAUCGUGGAAUUCUCGGUGUAGAGGUGAAAUUCGUAGAUAUCGAGAGGAACACCGGUGGCGAAGGCGGCGAUCUGGACGAUGACUGACGCUGAGACGCGAAAGCGUGGGGAGCAAACAGG
rnacentral:rRNA from 1 species